UUCAGUGCGGUGAAAAAAAAAAAGCCAAGCAAAACCCUUCUCCACUAACUUAUAAUUUUAAGAGAAGUAAAUAUAAUGAGGGAAGGAGAAAGAGAAAAACGUGAGGGAAAAAGAAAGCGUGGUGACGGUGAUGGCGGCACGAUGACGACGCGUACACCAACGACAACAACGCUCGAGCCCAAUUUUUUGUUUCUUGCCCCUAUUCUACUCAAAAUAGGGAAAUUGUGAGAGAAGGGAAAGAAUGUGGCGGCGAUGACGAUUCUUACACUAACAAUGACAACACUCAAGCCAACAUCGACGACCGAUGAUAUGGCCAAGAGAGGUGCCUCCGACAUUGUAGUGGUCAAAUUAGCGCACUCGACGGAGGUUCAUGAUAGGACUAGAAAUUGAAGGGAAGAGGGGAAGAGAUGAGGGAGAAAGGAAGAAGAAUAAUGGAGGGAGAUGCUGCCACCGAAAAUCGUCUCCGACGGCUGCAAAUGGCGUAACACAGUGGCGCCAAAGCUUUCUUUUCCUUUUUUUUUUAUCUUGUUUUAUUUUCUGUCUUCCAGAGAGAUUAUUUAUUUCUUUAUUUUCUAUUUGAUGUAUAGGUACAUUUGUGUACUAGACAACUAAGUAUAUAUCAAAGAAAUUAAAUAAUAAAGGAG
rnacentral:lncRNA from 1 species